rnacentral:rRNA from 1 species
GAACGGGGAGCAGCCCAGAGCCUGAAUCAGUAUGUGUGUUAGUGGAAGCGUCUGGAAAGGCGCGCGAUACAGGGUGACAGCCCCGUACACAAAAAUGCACAUAUUGUGAGCUCGAUGAGUAGGGCGGGACACGUGGUAUCCUGUCUGAAUAUGGGGGGACCAUCCUCCAAGGCUAAAUACUCCUGACUGACCGAUAGUGAACCAGUACCGUGAGGGAAAGGCGAAAAGAACCCCGGCGAGGGGAGUGAAAAAGAACCUGAAACCGUGUACGUACAAGCAGUGGGAGCACGCUUAGGCGUGUGACUGCGUACCUUUUGUAUAAUGGGUCAGCGACUUAUAUUCUGUAGCAAGGUUAACCGAAUAGGGGAGCCGAAGGGAAACCGAGUCUUAACUGGGCGUUAAGUUGCAGGGUAUAGACCCGAAACCCGGUGAUCUAGCCAUGGGCAGGUUGAAGGUUGGGUAACACUAACUGGAGGACCGAACCGACUAAUGUUGAAAAAUUAGCGGAUGACUUGUGGCUGGGGGUGAAAGGCCAAUCAAACCGGGAGAUAGCUGGUUCUCCCCGAAAGCUAUUUAGGUAGCGCCUCGUGAAUUCAUCUCCGGGGGUAGAGCACUGUUUCGGCAAGGGGGUCAUCCCGACUUACCAACCCGAUGCAAACUGCGAAUACCGGAGAAUGUUAUCACGGGAGACACACGGCGGGUGCUAACGUCCGUCGUGAAGAGGGAAACAACCCAGACCGCCAGCUAAGGUCCCAAAGUCAUGGUUAAGUGGGAAACGAUGUGGGAAGGCCCAGACAGCCAGGAUGUUGGCUUAGAAGCAGCCAUCAUUUAAAGAAAGCGUAAUAGCUCACUGGUCGAGUCGGCCUGCGCGGAAGAUGUAACGGGGCUAAACCAUGCACCGAAGCUGCGGCAGCGACGCUUAUGCGUUGUUGGGUAGGGGAGCGUUCUGUAAGCCUGUGAAGGUGUGCUGUGAGGCAUGCUGGAGGUAUCAGAAGUGCGAAUGCUGACAUAAGUAACGAUAAAGCGGGUGAAAAGCCCGCUCGCCGGAAGACCAAGGGUUCCUGUCCAACGUUAAUCGGGGCAGGGUGAGUCGACCCCUAAGGCGAGGCCGAAAGGCGUAGUCGAUGGGAAACAGGUUAAUAUUCCUGUACUUGGUGUUACUGCGAAGGGGGGACGGAGAAGGCUAUGUUGGCCGGGCGACGGUUGUCCCGGUUUAAGCGUGUAGGCUGGUUUUCCAGGCAAAUCCGGAAAAUCAAGGCUGAGGCGUGAUGACGAGGCACUACGGUGCUGAAGCAACAAAUGCCCUGCUUCCAGGAAAAGCCUCUAAGCAUCAGGUAA